AGUGAACGCUGGCGGCGUGCCUAAUACAUGCAAGUCGAACGGCGAGGCGCACGGGGGAGUAAUAUAUAGCUAAUCUGCCCUUUGCUGGAGGACAACAGUUAGAAAAGACUGCUAAUACUCCAUAGCAAGGGAGGAGACUAUAUCGUAUCAGCUAGUCGGUGGGGUAACGGCCUACCGAGGCUAUGACCGGUAACUGGGCUGCGAGGAUGAUCAGUCACAUUGGAACUGAGACACGGUCCAAACUCCUACGGGAGGCAGCAGUAGGGAAUAGUGCGCAAUGGGGGAAUCCCUGACGCAGCAACGCCGCGUGGAGGAUGACACUUUUCGGAGCGGAAACUCCUUUUGUUAGGGAAGCGGUACCUACCGAAUAAGCACCGGCUAACUCCGUGCCAGCAGCCGCGGUAAUAC
rnacentral:rRNA from 1 species